GAAACGAAACCGCCGCCACCGCCCCUGGCUGCGCCUACAGUCCGCCGGCCGCCCCUCCAGCUAUCAGCCUCGAUCUGCCGUUCUGCACGUACCGAGUCGCCAGCCGCCCGGCCAAGUUGCCGUCCCUAAGGAGAAAAACUGAAAAAUACGAGCGCUACUCAUCAAGCCCUAGUAUGCCUGAAAUAGUUGAUCUGGACAAGCUACGUUGCAUACUAUUCCUGAUGAGGUGAUAGUUUGACGCUUUCAUGUGAAAAACUAUCGUGGGAUGAAACUGAAGGAGCUUGAAAGCUAGAAAUCAAGGACACAACAACAAAAAGGAACGGCAUAUCCAUAUUUCUCAAGUUAUUCUAUCAUAAAUGGUUAGUUUACUUUUAUUUUGGCACUGAACAUGUC